GGCUCGCGACAAGAGACCAGGGCUUCCUCUAUGGUGGCAUAGUUGACGGCCCACGCCAGCAUUUCGGUGAAGUCGAUAGGAAUGCACUUUUUCAAGAAAAAAAGGAAGCUUGACGAUUGCAGGCUGCUCUUUAUUGUUGACAUUGUAAUCGACUGAUCUAGGUUGCGAACCUCUAGGGAUGCCGCAUUAAAGGAGCUAACAUAGUCUCUGAGGGACUCUUGCCCUUCUGCUUGAUGUCGAGCAGCGUAUCUGAGCCACGACGCCAUUUUUGGCUGGAGACAAAGUGGGUCACAAAGAGGCAGGUGAGCUACUUGAAGGAGUGAACGAAAUUGGGUUGAAGCAUGAAGAACCAGAACCAAGCCACCUUGUGAAAGGUUGCGGGGAACGCCUUGUAAAUUACAACAUCGAUGGCUUUAUGCAACCUCAUGAGAGACUUGAAGCUCUCAAGGUGAUCCAGGAGAUCCGAGGUGCCAUUAUACGGCCCUACUUGGGGCAUCUUGAAUUGAGGUGGAAUCGUUCCUCCAUGAUCCACCUGGUGAAGUAGGAAUCUAUGGAGAAGUUGAGGUAGUUGUUUGCCUUCGGAGCUGUUCCUUAAGGCCUGAAUUUUUUGGCCCAUUUUCUUGAUUCUUCGAUCGAGGUCAGCAUCCACCGAGAUGAGGGCUCCAU
rnacentral:lncRNA from 1 species